GGAGGAGUACCCAAGUGGUUGAAGGGGACGGUUUGCUAAACCGUUAGUGGCUUUGCCAGCGAGAGUUCGAAUCUCUCCUCCUCCGCCA
rnacentral:tRNA from 3 species